rfam:Picea glauca, whole genome shotgun sequence.
UCAUGUAAUGAUGCCUACAACAUUAAUGCACCACAUCCCAUCAGAACUCCAAAUUUAAGUGUGCUUGGGAUAGAGUAGUAUUGGGAUGGGUGACAUCCCGAGAAGUCCUAGUGUGUUACAUGCC